rnacentral:rRNA from 2 species
GAACUUUCCAGAGAUGGAUUGGUGCCUUCGGGAACUGUGAGACAGGUGCUGCAUGGCUGUCGUCAGCUCGUGUUGUGAAAUGUUGGGUUAAGUCCCGCAACGAGCGCAACCCUUAUCCUUUGUUGCCAGCGGUCCGGCCGGGAACUCAAAGGAGACUGCCAGUGAUAAACUGGAGGAAGGUGGGGAUGACGUCAAGUCAUCAUGGCCCUUACGACCAGGGCUACACACGUGCUACAAUGGCGCAUACAAAGAGAAGCGACCUCGCGAGAGCAAGCGGACCUCAUAAAGUGCGUCGUAGUCCGGAUUGGAGUCUGCAACUCGAUUCCAUGAAGUCGGAAUCGCUAGUAAUCGUGGAUCAGAAUGCCACGGUGAAUACGUUCCCGGGCCUUGUACACACCGCCCGUCACACCAUGGGAGUGGGUUGCAAAAGAAGUAGGUAGCUUAACCUUCGGGAGGGCGCUUACCACUUUGUGAUUCAUGACUGGGGUGAAGUCGUAACAAGGUAACCGUAGGGGAACCUGCGGUUGGAUCACCUCCUUA